rnacentral:rRNA from 1 species
UACGUAGGGUGCGAGCGUUGCCCGGAUUUAUUGGGCGUAAAGGGCGCGUAGGCGGUCACGCACGUCCGUUGUGAAAUCGCUCGGCUCAACUGGGCGGGGUCAGCGGAUACGGCGUGGCUGGAGCAAGCUAGGGGGCAAUGGAAUUCCCGGUGUAGUGGUGGAAUGCAUAGAUAUCGGGAGGAACACCAGUGGCGAAGGCGGUUGCCUGGAGCUUUGCUGACGCUGAUGCGCGAAAGCGUGGGGAGCGAUCCGG